CCCAUUUGACGUGGCUCGGUACUUGUGCAUCCCGUCAUUGUGUUAUUGUGCUAUGGACAUGGAUCAACAUUCGUUCGUUGGGGUAGGAGUCAGUGCCCGUUACAAACAGAGCUUGUCUAUUCUGGUUAUGCUGCUGGUCAGGAAUACUACUACGCCACCAAUCAAUUAGGCGGACCUUCAAAUAUGUUAUGUCUUUCAAUGGAUCCAGAACUAAGCAACCGGACAGAAUGAUUAAGUUGUCGUUUAUUUGUUUCGGAGUUCGAAGGACACAAAUUUGCACCAGGUUUUCUUAGAAGAAAAUCAUUUUAUUCUGGAAGGAAGAGGGAGUACUUUGGUAUUUUAGCUUCUAGUUGUUUUAGUUGCAAAGCUUCGUCGUAUAUUUGUGUGGAUAUAAAUCCUGAGUUCAUUGCAGGCAGAGAGAGAAAAAAUGAUAAUAAUUUGUUGUAUCCAACAAGCAUGAAGUGUGGUUCCCUUCCUUGCCCACCGUACCACAAUAGUUUGGAAGUAUACUGUGUUAUCUGUUCAAAAUAAGGUUAGUUUGUU